GUUAGGAAUAUUGGACAAUGGGGGCAACCCUGAUCCAGCCAUGCCGCGUGUGUGAAGAAGGCCUUAGGGUUGUAAAGCACUUUCGGCUGUGAAGAUAAUGACAGUAGCAGAAGAAGAAGCUCCGGCUAAAUUCGUGCCAGCAGCCGCGGUAAUACGAAUGGAGCGAGCGUUGUUCGGAAUCACUGGGCGUAAAGGGUGCGCAGGCGGUCAUGAAAGUUAGAAGUGAAAGCCCCGGGCUUAACCCGGGAAUUGCUUUUAAAACUCCAUGACUAGAGUACUGGAGAGGUUGGCGGAAUUCCAAGUGUAGCAGUGAAAUGCGUAGAUAUUUGGAGGAACACCGAUGGCGUAGGCAGCCAACUGGACAGUAACUGACGCUCAUGCACGAAAGCGUGGGGAUCAAACAGGAUUAGAAACCCUGGUAGUCC
rnacentral:rRNA from 1 species